rnacentral:rRNA from 1 species
AUGUGGUUACAGAGGAUGUUUGGUUCAUACCCUUUUGUGAUUAUUUGUUUCUUAUAUCAGUUAAUUAAUUUACAUGAAAGAUGCCAAGAACAUGUAGCAGUAGAGCAAGAACAUGAAAGUUCGGCCUCCUCCAUUUUGUCGAUCCAUGAAUCCAUGUCAAGAACACGUCGCAGCACUUAUCUUCCCUCCCUUCGCCCAAUCUCCAAUGGCAAUGGCAAUGGCAUGUCAGAAUCCAUGGGUUGGCUCCGGAGAAGCUCGGUCAUGGGGGAGAGAGGAGGAGGACUGCGACUUGGCGAGCUCCUGCUCCGUGUCAGCCAGCUAGCUGAUGGGUUUGUCUUGUCUGGCUCGUUGGCAGCUGCCGGGAAGUGGUGGAGCGGUUUCGUCAGCCGAUCGAUGUGUUGGUUGAUCGUUCGGCCAGCGGAAAAGAAAUCAAAGUUUGGCUGA